rnacentral:tRNA from 1 species
GCCAGGAUUGCCUAGUCAGGUCAAGGCGGUGGUCUUAAGAGGCCAUACGCGGGUUCGAAUCCCGCUCCUGGCG